rnacentral:tRNA from 1 species
GGGAGGGUGGUGGAAUCGGUAGACACAGCAGACUUAAAAUCUGCCGCUCGAAAGGGCAUCCGGGUUCAAGCCCCGGCCUUCCCA